rnacentral:rRNA from 1 species
GACAGAGGGGGCAAGCGUUGCUCGGAAUCACUGGGCGUAAAGGGCGCGUAGGCGGGAUGGCAAGUCGGUCGUGAAAUCUCUCGGCUCAACCGAGAAACGUCGGCCGAUACUGCCGUUCUUGAGGGAUGCAGAGGAGACUGGAAUUCCCGGUGUAGCGGUGAAAUGUGUAGAGAUCGGGAGGAACACCGGUGGCGAAGGCAGCUCGCUGGGACGUGACUGACGCUGAGGCGCGAAAGCGUGGGGAGCAAACAGG